CCUACGGGAGGCAGCAGUGGGGGAUAUUGCACAAUGGGGGGAACCCUGAUGCAGCGACGCCGCGUGGGCGAAGAAGUAUUUCGGUAUGUAAAGCCCUAUCAGCAGGGAAGAAGAAAUGACGGUACCUGAGUAAGAAGCACCGGCUAAAUACGUGCCAGCAGCCGCGGUAAUACGUAUGGUGCAAGCGUUAUCCGGAUUUACUGGGUGGAAAGGGAGCGCAGGUGGCACGGCAAGCCUGAUGUGAAAGCCCGCGGCCCAACCGCGGGACUGCAUUGGGAACUACCGGGCUGGAGUGCCGGAGAGGUAGGCGGAAUUCCUAGUGUAGCGGUGAAAUGCGUAGAUAUUAGGAGGAACACCAGUGGCGAAGGCGGCCUACUGGACGGUGACUGACGCUGAGGCUCGAAAGCGUGGGGAGCAAACAGGAUUAGAUACCCUUGUAGUC
rnacentral:rRNA from 1 species